GACCCGAAACCCGGUGAUCUAGCCAUGGGCAGGUUGAAGGUUGGGUAACACUAACUGGAGGACCGAACCGACUAAUGUUGAAAAAUUAGCGGAUGACCUGUGGCUGGGGGUGAAAGGCCAAUCAAACCGGGAGAUAGCUGGUUCUCCCCGAAAGCUAUUUAGGUAGCGCCUCGUGAAUUCAUCUCCGGGGGUAGAGCACUGUUUCGGCUAGGGGGCCAUCCCGGCUUACCAACCCGAUGCAAACUGCGAAUACCGGAGAAUGUUAUCACGGGAGACACACGGCGGGUGCUAACGUCCGUCGUGAAGAGGGAAACAACCCAGACCGCCAGCUAAGGUCCCAAAGUCAUGGUUAAGUGGGAAACGAUGUGGGAAGGCCCAGACAGCCAGGAUGUUGGCUUAGAAGCAGCCAUCAUUUAAAGAAAGCGUAAUAGCUCACUGGUCGAGUCGGCCUGCGCGGAAGAUGUAACGGGGCUAAACCAUGCACCGAAGCUGCGGCAGCGAACGUAUCACCCAAGACAACUUUACGGAGUUGACGAUUGACGGAGCGAAGCGACGUCAAAGCGUUCAUUAAAGUCGAGUUGGCUUAGGGAUACGUUCGUUGGGUAGGGGAGCGUUCUGUAAGCCUGUGAAGGUGUGUCGUGAGGCAUGCUGGAGGUAUCAGAAGUGCGAAUGCUGACAUAAGUAACGAUAAAGCGGGUGAAAAGCCCGCUCGCCGGAAGACCAAGGGUUCCUGUCCAACGUUAAUCGGGGCAGGGUGAGUCGACCCCUAAGGCGAGGCCGAAAGGCGUAGUCGAUGGGAAACGGGUUAAUAUUCCCGUACUUGGUGUUACUGCGAAGGGGGGACGGAGAAGGCUAUGUUGGCCGGGCGACGGUUGUCCCGGUUUAAGCGUGUAGGUGUGUGUUCCAGGUAAAUCCGGUU
rnacentral:rRNA from 1 species